AACACAGAUCUAGACAUCAGAAUGGCCUGAUGUGACAGUAUAGGCCACUCAGAACAAUAUGGCCUCUGGUGGCAGUGUGGCUCAUGGUCAUCAAUAUAAAUACUCCUGGCAACACAAAUGACAGACAUCUAUAAGACCUUCAGGAGUAAUAUGGGCUAUGGACAUAAACAGACCCCAGCUGAAGUAGAACCAUGAACCCAGACAUGGCCACCACCAGAAGCAAAGACCUGGACAUCACCAUGACCUCAGACAGCAGUGCAGGCCUUUCACAUCUACAUGGCCCCUGGUGGCAGCAUGGCCCUACGUACAUCAAGAUGGCCUCAGCUGCCUGUCCAUCUACCAAGUCUGUCCUGCUAGCAUAUUGAAAGAAACCUCAGAUGUCUAGUAAACCAUGGGUUAAACCAACAAACUCAAUCUUCUAAAAUAACACCAGCCUGCCAUUCAGGUGUAUCAGUCCUUGUGAGCCACUGGACCACUGGCAACAAUUUGGCGCCCAGACUGGAACCUGAAGAAGUUUAGGAGGACGCUGAGGGAACGCUGUUUUGUGUGGAGCUCCACGGAAGAAAAAGAAAAAGAAAAGGAUUGUAUCGGACAAUGAAGCAACAGAAAAAGAAGUUGUAGCGAGAUGGCUGCCUGAGAGAUUAGUUCGUCAACUGGACACAGAUCCUGAAUCUUCUAGUCAGUCAACACCCUUUAGCCUGACUGCAGCAGGCAUGCAUCCCCGCCCCCAACAGCACACAGGUGGCAGUUACUAAUCUUCAUUGAAGAAGCAUUCCAGUACAUAUUGUGGCUUUGGUCUGAAUUGGGAGUAAGAUACUGCUACCUGCUGAGAGGCCCCAGAGCUAUUCCGGAGACUACACCCUAUCCUGCAUGUCAUCACCUGCAGCUGGUUCCAGGCUCCAAAGAUGAAUUGGCAGGAAUGGGCUUUCCCCCUUCCUUUAUAAAGCAUGUCCGCCAUUAAAAAUUUGAACCUUGAUCAGAA